rnacentral:lncRNA from 1 species
UGUCUGUCUGCCUGUCCGUCCGUACGUCAGUCCAUCGGUCCUGUUUCUUGUCAUCGCAACUCCUCUCAAACCACACAACAGAAUUUCAUGAUAAUAAGGACAUACUAAGUAGAUUUGCAUAUCGACAAGAAAUUACAAUUCAUUUUUUUUCUAGAAGUUACGCCCCUUUGAACUUAUGUGCUUCGAUAUACCUCUGCAACAGUUUAUCGUCGCAACUCCUCUGAAACCACACCACAGAAUUUCAUGAAACCUUGUAGAUAAUAAGGACAAAAUCAUACUAUGUAGAUGUACAUAUCGACAGGAAAUUAUGAUUCAUUUUUUUUUCUUAUACAACUUUUUUUCUUACAGUUAUUUUAUUUCUCCAGUGACAAUGUGGGGACGUGGGGGCAUGUGAGCGCGCUCACUAAGGUUCUUUAAUUUUAUUUCUCCACGAAAAUAUUUGCACAUUAUUUGGGGUUUGGCCAAAGGAGUAUGUAUUUGGUCAUUUUUAGAGUAAAAUGAUAGCCUGGGAUCCUGGCUGACUGCUCGACAGAAGAGCCAGGCGGAAUACAACCUGGUUUGUCAAUAGGAUAUUAGGAUUAUAUUGU